rnacentral:misc_RNA from 1 species
UUGCAAAUCUCAGCUCCUGCUUCGGCGUCGAUCCCUUGUACUAUUUCCAUUAGCAUAUGGCAACUCCUCACGACCACGGUAUGGUGGAGACCUGCUAUAGCCACGACCAUGAGGUGAAAGGCUGCGGCGUUUAGGGGAUCGUCCACGGGGGCUGUAGCUCCUUCUACCAUAGCUUGGACUCCUGCGAUAUCUAGGGCUGCGGCUACGUCGUCU